ACUGGACAAAAUUAAAGUGCUCUUCUGUCACUGUACCCGUUCCUAUGAACACUGACAGGAGAGCAUUUCAAUUUUGUCAAGG
rnacentral:pre_miRNA from 1 species